CAGUCGCCGCGGUAAUACGAAGGGGGCUAGCGUUGUUCGGAUUUACUGGGCGUAAAGCGCACGUAGGCGGACUUUUAAGUCAGGGGUGAAAUCCCGGGGCUCAACCCCGGAACUGCCUUUGAUACUGGAAGUCUUGAGUAUGGUAGAGGUGAGUGGAAUUCCGAGUGUAGAGGUGAAAUUCGUAGAUAUUCGGAGGAACACCAGUGGCGAAGGCGGCUCACUGGACCAUUACUGACGCUGAGGAGCGAAAGCAUGGGGAGCGAACAGGAUUAGAUACCCCCGUAGUCCCUGUCUCUUAUAC
rnacentral:rRNA from 1 species